rnacentral:rRNA from 1 species
AGAAAUCCUGUCUGAAUAUGGGGGGACCAUCCUCCAAGGCUAAAUACUCAUCAUUGACCGAUAGUGAACUAGUACCGUGAGGGAAAGGCGAAAAGAACCCCGGGAGGGGAGUGAAAUAGAUCCUGAAACCGUGUGCUUACAAAAAGUAGGAGCCCGCAAGGGUGACUGCGUACCUUUUGUAUAAUGGGUCAGCGACUUACAUUCAGUGGCAAGCUUAACCGAAUAGGGAAGGCGUAGGGAAACCGAGUCCGAAUAGAGCGAUUCAGUCGCUGGGUGUAGACCCGAAACCAAGUGAUCUAUCCAUGGCCAGGAUGAAGGUGCCGUAACAGGUACUGGAGGUCCGAACCGACUAGUGUUGCAAAACUAGCGGAUGAGCUGUGGAUAGGGGUGAAAGGCUAAACAAACUUGGAAAUAGCUGGUUCUCUCCGAAAACUAUUUAGGUAGUGCCUCAAGUAUUACCGUCGGGGGUAGAGCACUGUUUUGGCUAGGGGGUCAUGGCGACUUACCAAACCAAGGCAAACUCCGAAUACCGACGAGUACAGCUUGGGAGACAGAGCACCGGGUGCUAACGUCCGGACUCAAGAGGGAAACAACCCAGACCGCCAGCUAAGGUCCCUAAAAUUGGCUAAGUGGGAAACGAAGUGGGAAGGCUAAAACAGUCAGGAUGUUGGCUUAGAAGCAGCCAUCAUUUAAAGAAAGCGUAAUAGCUCACUGAUCGAGUCGUCCUGCGCGGAAGAUGUAACGGGGCUAAGCCAGUUACCGAAGCUGCGGAUUUGCAAUUUAUUGCAAGUGGUAGGAGAGCGUUCUGUAAGCCUGUGAAGGUGUGUUGUAAAGCACGCUGGAGGUAUCAGAAGUGCGAAUGCUGACAUGAGUAGCGUUAAAGCGGGUGAAAAGCCCGCUCGCCGUAAGCGCAAGGUUUUCUACGCAACGUUCAUCGGCGUAGAGUGAGUCGGCCCCUAAGGCGAGGCAGAGAUGCGUAGCUGAUGGGAAACAGGUCAAUAUUCCUGUACCGAUGUGUAGUGCGAUGUGGGGACGGAGAAGGUUAGCUCAGCCAACUGUUGGAUAUGUUGGUUCAAGCCUGUAGUCGUGCCUGGUAGGUAAAUCCACCGGGCUUAGAUGAGGGGUGAUAACGAGGCUGCUUGCAGCCGAAGUGAGUGAUACCCUGCUUCCAGGAAAAGCCACUAAGCUUCAGCUACACACGACCGUACCGCAAACCGACACUGGUGCGCGAGAUGAGUAUUCUAAGGCGCUUGAGAGAACUCAGGAGAAGGAGCUCGGCAAAUUGACACCGUAACUUCGGAAGAAGGUGUGCCUUUAGUAGGUGAACCUGUACAAGGGGAGCCCAAUGAGGUUGCAAAAAAUCGGUGGCUGCGACUGUUUAAUAAAAACACAGCACUCUGCAAACACGAAAGUGGACGUAUAGGGUGUGACGCCUGCCCGGUGCUGGAAGAUUAAAUGAUGGGGUGCAAGCUCUUGAUUGAAGUCCCAGUAAACGGCGGCCGUAACUAUAACGGUCCUAAGGUAGCGAAAUUCCUUGUCGGGUAAGUUCCGACCUGCACGAAUGGCGUAACGAUGGCCACACUGUCUCCUCCUGAGACUCAGCGAAGUCG